AUAUUUUAGCAUUAUAUCUAUGUGGACUUGUGAUAUGAGGGUCCCCUGACUAGGUCCUCUACUUGGCAAUUUAAACCAUCUGGAGGUAUUUAACCAUUCAUUGUGUAAACCACUUUGUACGCUUCCAUUUAUCCAACCGUCCAUUUUGAAUGGACAGCUGAGAUGACCCCAAUCACAAUGUCACGUCUCUACACUAUUUUU
rnacentral:lncRNA from 1 species